GUUGAGUGGCGAACGGGUGAGUAACACGUGGGUGACCUACCUUCGAGUGUGGGAUAACGUCCCGAAAGGGACGCUAAUACCGCAUAUCAUCCUGCCUUUGAACAGGUGUUGAUCAAAGCCGGGGAUCGCAAGACCUGGCGCUUGAUGAGGGGCCCGCGCCUGAUUAGCUAGUUGGUGGGGUAAUGGCUCACCAAGGCGACGAUCAGUAUCCGGCCUGAGAGGGCUGACGGACACUCUGGGACUGAUACACGGUCCAGACUCCUACGGGAGGCAGCAGUGGGGAAUUGUUCGCAAUGGGCGCAAGCCUGACGACGCAACGCCGCGUGGAGGAUGAAGGUCUUCGGAUUGUAAACUCCUUUUGUUCGGGACGAAAAGCUUCACCUAACACGUCGAGGUCUGACGGUACCGAGUGAGGAAUCCCCGGCUAACUCU
rnacentral:rRNA from 1 species